rnacentral:rRNA from 1 species
AUUGAACGCUGGCGGCAUGCCUUACACAUGCAAGUCGAACGGCAGCACGGGAGCUUGCUCCUGGUGGCGAGUGGCGAACGGGUGAGUAAUACAUCGGAACGUACCCAGUAGUGGGGGAUAACGCACCGAAAGGUGCGCUAAUACCGCAUACGACCUAAGGGUGAAAGCGGGGGACCGUAAGGCCUCGCGCUAUUGGAGCGGCCGAUGUCUGAUAGCUAGUUGGCGGGGUAAAGGCCCACCAAGGCGACGAUCAGUAGCUGGUCUGAGAGGACGAUCAGCCACACUGGGACUGAGACACGGCCCAGACUCCUACGGGAGGCAGCAGUGGGGAAUUUUGGACAAUGGGGGCAACCCUGAUCCAGCAAUGCCGCGUGUGCGAAGAAGGCCUUCGGGUUGUAAAGCACUUUUGUCAGGGAAGAAAUCUUUUGGGCUAAUACCCCGGAAGGAUGACGGUACCCGAAGAAUAAGCACCGGCUAACUACGUGCCAGCAGCCGCCGUAA